GAGCGCUACAGCAGUGUGACAGCUGACCACCUCUGGAGCAGCGAGCAGCGGGACAGGAAAAAGUCUGCUGACUGCUGGCCUAAAUAAUGCGAUGGAGCACGAGGUUGAACUGAGUGAACAGGACAGGAUUAGAAUGCAAAAAGUAAGGCACUGCUCAGCUCAGGUGUAAAAGUUAAGAGGCACCAAAAUCGAAAGCCUCAGUAAUCAAGGCAUCCGAAGGAAGUCGAAAAGGAUCUUCCUGAAGAUUCCCUUAGAGUUGUUUUUUGCUGUUUUCUUGAGACAGAGUCUCACCUUACCACCCUCGGUAGAGUGCCAUGGCAUCACACAACUCACAGCAACCUCCAAAUCCUUGGGCUUAGGCGAUUCUCUUGACUCAGCCUCCCAAGUAGCUGGGACUACAGGUGCCCGCCACAACGCCCGGCUAAUUGCUGUUCUUAACAGAGAUCUGAAUUCUUCUCAGAUAGGCUCCUGGACAAAAUGUGAUAGCCUGGCAACUUCUGUUGCAAAUAAUCAGGAUAUGAGAAGAUAAUGAAUUUGAUACUUUCAAGAUGUUUCCUUUGUAAAAAUGUAUAAAUAAGCAUGUCAAUUAAUUUUAGGGUGCUUCUGUCUCACUUCUAUGUUAUGGUCAAUAAAAUCAGUGAUUUAUGAUAUCUACUUAUAAACAUCAAUUUUACUAUAAACUAAAUAUAAACACAUGCUUUAUUCACAUGUGGCAAUUGAAUUUAUAACUGCAAUAAUACAUUAGGGUUUUCUUUAUAAGUGCCUAUUUUCAAUACUUAUAAAAAUAUACAUUGACUAUUAUUCAUUACUCAUGACAGUAGCUGCCAGGCAUGCCCCCAUAUACACCCACAUUUCAUUUACAAACACUUCAUUUAUUCUCUAAAAAGCCUGUAUCAGUCUGGGAUCCAUCACUUUCAGAGAAAAGUGAACCUUUUUAAUGUUUAUAUCCUGGUAGGUUGACUGAAAAUAGCCCUAUUAGAUUUUAAUGCAUUUAACUAUGAACCCUGUAGUAGUGCAUUGUUGAAAGCAUGAAAAAGUACAUCUAAAAACCAGAUUUAAGAAAUACUUUUCUCUAAAAGGAUAUCACAGAAUAUAUCCCAAACCAAGACAGCACCAAAUUCAUUAAGAUCUUCUCAUCUCCACCUGUCAAAAGUGUUUACGAAAAAGGGAAUGAACAGCAGUAGCGGAUGUACAGAUGAGGAUGGGGCUGCUUUCAUGGAAAGAACCAGUUUUGACAUUAUCCACAACUGUAUAAAAAAGAAAAUCAAAUCCAUAGAUAGAAAAAAUAAGUUCUGUUAUCACGAAGAUGAGCAAAUAUUGGACUGAAAUCUUCAUUUCUCCUUUGAUUGUUAUUCAGCUCCUGCCCACAGUAGCCAGGUGGCCACUGUUCUAGAAUAAUUUCAACUUAAACCAUUUGUUUUUCCCUACCUCAUAUAUUUAUCAUUUAGCCCCUUUUAUUGUGCUUUAUUAUGUUACACUAAAAAGCUUAUGAAACCGUGUGCAGACCCAUGAGCUAAGAUAAAUCUAGUGUGUUGACAGAGUCUUAGCACAUUUUACUCAUUUCCCUUCAACAGUUGGUUGUAAUCUAUGACCAAAUAGGAAAACAAAAUGAACAAACAAAAAAGAUGAAGAGCUGUCAUCUUUCAAAGAGUCUUUUGCUCUGCAUGAUACGUAAGUAGUAAGAUGUCUUCCUUGAGCCAAAUGCUGAUCUAGUCAUUUAUUUCUAGAGCCUCACAAUUAAUGUUUCCAUGACAGAUGAAAUUAGUCUAUUUUUUAUUGAAUUGUGAAUGAAUUUGUCAUUUCCAAAAAUGAAUGUGUUAUUUUGAGGGUUUCUUUCUUCAACUGAUCAGUUUUUGGAAAUAAUCUUAUA